ACUCAAAUGAAUUGACGGGGACCCGCACAAGCGGUGGAACAUGAGGUUUAAUUCGUCAACAAGCGAAGAACCUUACCAAGGCUUGACAUCUAUGGAAUCCCGCGGAAACGUGGGAGUGCCGCAAGGAGCCAUAAGACAGGUGCUGCACGGUCGUCGUCAGCUCGUGCUGUGAAGUGUCCCGUUAAGUCGGUAAACGAGCGCAACCCCUAUCGUAUGUUACUUUUUCAUACGAGACUGCCGGUGUUAAAUCGGAGGAAGGUGGGGAUGACGUCAGAUCAGCGUGGCCCUUACGCCUUGGGCUACACUCGUGUUACAAUGGGGUGAACAAAGGGUUGCAAAGCCGCGAGGUGGAGCUAAUCCCAUCAAAUCACCCCCCAGUUCGGAUUGAAGGCUGAAAUUCGCCUUCAUGAAGUCGGAAUCGCUAGUAAUCGUGGGUCAGCCAUACCACGGUGAAUACGUUCUCGGGUCUUGUACACACCGCCCGU
rnacentral:rRNA from 1 species